rnacentral:rRNA from 1 species
GCCAGCAGCCGCGGUAACACCGGCAGCUCUAGUGGUAACAAUUUUAUUGGGCCUAAAGCGUCCGUAGCCGGUUUAAUAAGUCUCUGGUGAAAUCCUGCAGCUUAACUGUGGGAAUUGCUGGAGAUACUAUUAGACUUGAGACCGGGAGAGGUUAGAGGUACUCCCAGGGUAGAGGUGAAAUUCUGUAAUCCUGGGAGGACCGCCUGUUGCGAAGGCGUCUAACUGGAACGGUUCUGACGGUGAGGGACGAAAGUUAGGGGCGCGAACCGGAUUAGAUACCCGGGUAGUCCUAACUGUAAACGAUGCGGACUUGGUGUUGGGGUGGCUUUGAGCUGCUUCAGUGCCGAAGGGAAGCUGUUAAGUCCGCCGCCUGGGAAGUACGGUCGCAAGACUGAAACUUAAGGAAUUGGCGGGGGAGCACCACAACGCGUGGAGCCUGCCGGUUUAAUUGGAUUCAACGCCGGACAUCUCACCAGAGGCGACAGCUGUAUGAUAGCCAGGUUGAUGACUUUGCUUGACUAGCUGAGAGGGGAGGUGCAUGG